rnacentral:tRNA from 1 species
GCUUCUGUGGCUCAAAGGUAGAGCACUUCACUCGUAAUGAAGGGGUUGUGGGUUCGAUUCCCAUCGGAAGCU